UACAGAGGUCUCAAGCGUUGUUCGGAUUCAUUGGGCGUAAAGGGUGCGUAGGCGGCGCGGUAAGUCGGGGGCGAAAUCUCGGAGCUUAACUCCGAAACUGCAUUCGAUACUGCCGUGCUUGAGGACUGGAGAGGAGACUGGAAUUUACGGUGUAGCGGUGAAAUGCGUAGAUAUCGUAAGGAAGACCAGUGGCGAAGGCGGGUCUCUGGACAGUUCCUGACGCUGAGGCACGAAGGUCAGGGGAGCAAACGGG
rnacentral:rRNA from 1 species